rnacentral:tRNA from 2 species
GUCUUUGUAGUAUAUUAAUUACUUUGGUCUUGUAAACCAAAAACGGAGAUUCCUCUACUUCUCCCUAAGACU